UUUAUUUUGGACAUCUAUACACAUAACAUACUAAAGACAAAUAAUAAAUCACCUAUAAUAGUGUUUUUAAUGUUGAACAAUCUAUAAACAUGAUAUCAAACCACAUUAUGUAACAUCUGCCAGAUUUAACAUUAGAUUGCUAACACUUUUAAAUAGCCUGUAACAAAUAAUUUAUCAGCAAAUGAAAUAUUAGAUGUUAUAUUAAUAAUUAUCCGGGUUAAGCACACAUACAUCUUGCUUAUAUGUUCAGAUGAUAUUUAUCUACUUAAUUCAAAAUAAAGAUAGAGUCAAUUUGGUCAAAAUACAUUUAAAAAAUUGAAAAUUGUGAAUCAUGCGUUGUGGGUUGUUCAAAAAAAAAAAAAAAAGUGAAUCAUGCGUUGUGGUGAGGCGUAUAUCUGUGGGGGUUAGGGAAACGGUUCUUGCAGACGAAUCACGAGAGAGUGAGAGGUUUACUUGAAAAUUUAGAACUGAGAUGAGAUGUGAGUCUCUGAAUUAUUGUAAUCCUAAUCUUUAACUUCACUCCAAACCUUAGGAUUUGAGGAAGAAACAAUUUUGGGGGUUUUAGAGGGGAUGAAACACAUUUUCUUGAUCGUUGGAGGAGAAACCUAAUGACUUUUCCAAUUCUGAGAAAUAGUGCUUUAUAGACAGACCUUGACAUGAAUCUUCUCUUUUUAUCCCCACAAUAUUUUGGCAUGUAGAAGAAGAUCUUUUUGCUGCUAUUCGUUAAAACUGUCCGAC
rnacentral:lncRNA from 1 species